rnacentral:rRNA from 1 species
UACGUAGGCAGCGAGCGGUGUUCGGAGUUACUGGGCGUAAAGGGUGUGUAGGCGGUUGUUUAAGUUUGGUGUGAAAUCUCCCGGCUCAACUGGGAGGGUGCGCCGAAUACUGAAUGACUUGGAGUGCGGGAGAGGAAAGUGGAAUUCCUGGUGUAGCGGUGAAAUGCGUAGAUAUCAGGAGGAACACCGGUGGUGUAGACGGCUUUCUGGACCGUAACUGACGCUGAGACACGAAAGCGUGGGUAGCAAACAGG